rnacentral:rRNA from 1 species
UGACACCUGGAAACAGAUGCUAAUACCGGAUAACAACAGAUGAUGCCUAUCAACUGUUUAAAAGAUGGUUCUGCUAUCACUCUUGGAUGGACCUGCGGUGCAUUAGCUAGUUGGUAGGGUAACGGCCUACCAAGGCGAUGAUGCAUAGCCGAGUUGAGAGACUGAUCGGCCACAUUGGGACUGAGACACGGCCCAAACUCCUACGGGAGGCAGCAGUC